CACGUAGGGGGCAAGCGUUGUCCGGAUUUAUUGGGCGUAAAGAGCUCGUAGGCGGUUCGGUAAGUCGGGUGUGAAACCUCCAGGCUCAACCUGGAGACGCCACCCGAUACUGCCAUGACUGGAGUCCGGUAGAGGAGUGUGGAAUUCCUGGUGUAGCGGUGAAAUGCGCAGAUAUCAGGAGGAACACCGGUGGCGAAGGCGGGUCUCUGGGCCGAUACUGACGCUGAGGAGCGAAAGCGUGGGGAGCGAACAGG
rnacentral:rRNA from 1 species